GGUGGGCCAAAUGCUCAGAUAGGUGGAGGUGCUGCAGCAAUAGGCAGUAUGAGAAACAUACUAUCUUUUUUGAACAUCA